ACUUCCCGAAUGCCCAUAAGUUUCUUUUUUUUAAAAAAAAAAAAUUGACUAAGAUCUAAUUUUCUCGGGUGUAAACUCGAAUGAAAAAACUCAACAUUUCCGAAAGUUUAGUUUGAGUCCACGCCAAGUUCACGCACUUACAUACUGUGACAGAAGAUCCGCCAUCUUGAAUUUUAAGUGACGUCAAGCGAUUUUUUGUCGCAGUCUAAAAGUGCGUAAACUUGGAGUCCACGCCAAAUAAGUUCACGUGCUUAUAGACUGCGGCAGAAGAUGCGCCAUCUUGAUUGCACUCAAGGCAUCUUGACGUCACUUAAGUGACGUCAGACGAUCUUUUUUCGCAGUCUAAAAGUGCGUAAACUUAUUUGGCGUAAACCUUUGAUGCCGCAAUUACACGCUGAAUGUGGGAGCUGAAUGUGGCUUGAAUGUGGAAGUCAUCGGCCCGAUGCCUGAAUUUUGCGCGUGACCCGCAAAAUUCAGCAACGAUUCUCAGCAACCAUCUGACUAAUCUUUGAUUUGUCUGAACUAUUCGAGUAGAUUUGAUACACAUCUGGAUGAAAAUAACUCGAAUUUGCGAAAUUUCAGCCGUUGGGUGAUGACUGUUGACUUCCACAUUCAGCUGCUAAAUUUAGCGUGUGAUUGCGGCAUGAGCUUCUUACUCCAAGCUACUGAUACAGUAUAGUCAAUGUACAGCAUCCUUUUCUCACAGGUGAACCCAAGUGCGAAUAAUAAUCUCGGUGUGUCGGGAAAGCGGAAGUAAGUGCCGGGAGCAAAUCUAAGUGGAAGUCAAACGCCGUUGACGUUGCCCGACGUCUUGUUCUACGGAAGCCCCGUUUUCGUGUGCCGUUACGUACUGUGUUCGGGGUCGGCCGUCGGACGUGGACGUCUGAGUUGGGCCGGUGCCGGUGCGUGUAAAUUGAUUAGCAUGCGUUGAGGUUGUAUGGCGGCGUGCUCAUGUUGCUCCAAGCCGGUUGGAACAGCAGCGGCAGCGGCGUCGGCGGCGGCGGUGGACCCUCGGCCGGCGACGACGAGAAGAAGCGCGAGGAGCACGAGCAUCUCGAGGAGAUCCAAAAUAAACUCAACCCAGGCUGGAGCGUCCACGUGACACACGACAACCGCCUCUACUACUGCAAGUAAGAGGAGUUAUGGUUGAAUUUCAAUUACAAACCCUGAAACGCACACGCAGCUCAUUCGUAAUUCUCUCUUUCUCAUGAUCAUUCUUGUAUUUUCUGCACGUCUACACGCUUUUGCACGAUUUUUUUAUCCAUACUUCAGUCUCUUUUAUUUAUCUUUACUGAAAGGUCCUUAAUGCGCAGCUCAUCGUCCUCCGUUAAUCUCAAGUGGGAAGGAAAUAUUAACCCUCGCACAACACUCAUGCAUUGUAUAACCUUACCGCAUGUCAUAAAAGUACUCACGGGGAUCGUUUUUCAGAGUGGAAUGUUUGAAUCUGCAAGCUGCGUCUAAUAAUCCCUAUCAUAUUUUUCUAAAGAUGAUUUUGGAAAUUCUAAACAUGUCUAACGUGUUAUGAUGAGGAGGUGUAUUUUACGGUGUUUCAACUCUUAACCUUCUGAAUUUGUUGUCUUUUGAAAUUUUCAAAAUGUUGAAACCAGGCAGCUGGUUUGGUAUGGACACGUGUGGUGAAUGGCAGAUGGUAGAUUGCCCAGAAAGGUAUUUGAUUGGGUUCCUCCCGAAAGAAGACAGCGUGGGCGUCCAGUAAAAGGUUG
rnacentral:lncRNA from 1 species